UCUCUUCAUUUCUUCCUUCGUCAUAUAUUCUUUUCUGAAUCUGAUUGUUGAUUUUUUUCUAAUUAUUUUUGUUAGGUUUACAAGUGUGAUUUUGGUUGAAGCUCAAAAAUGAUAAAUUACUAAAUACAAUUAUCAAUUCGGUAAAACCUAACUCUAAACCUUUUCUUUUCUUCAUGUUUCUUCCCAAUUCUCUCAACUCCGGUUUCGAAAGAUUUCUCAUCACAUGUUUUUAUUGUGUACUUAAAUCACUUUGUUAUUUUAUCUGAGGGUUAGGAUUACUUCUUCUUUGAAUUCUUAGAUAUGGGUUGCAAUGAUUUUUGCAUAAUCAUGGUCUUAUUUAUUGUCAAUCAGUUCCGCGAUCAUAGGAUUUGAAUUCUUUGCUCAUCUGAGAAUUACUCGAAUUACUCACCUCUGCUGAAAAAAACUCUGAGAAUCCAAUUCAACGGAAGUCUUUGUACUUCCAGGCUAGGAAGUAACCAUACAUGAGGGAACUUGCUUAAAGGAGAAACCUACUUUUGUUGUUACCUUUAAUAAUAAAUCAUGAAAACAGUUUUUUUUUUUUCUUCUAAUCCUUUGAAGGGAUAUCAUCUCGCGUUAAUAUCAUUUAGUUUUUGGUGGGUAGAUUUCACAUAUGGGUUUAGUGGGUCUAAUGUCUUUGAUCAGCUGUUCAAUUUUUACAUUAGGCUUUGUUUUCUUAUUUUUAGUUUCGAUAGCUAGCUUUUUCAUGUGAGUUCUAACCUCUAUAUCUCCAUGUUUAGAGUUAUAAGUAGUCUUCAUAAGUUUCUUAUUUUGUUUUGCCGCUGAUCAUAUUUUAGUUUCAAGAAGUCCAGAUUGCUAAUGAAAGAGGAGCGCAGUUGUAUGCCAACCUAAAUGUUGUAGUUUCUGAUGUUAUUCUCUCUAAACAAACUCGGUUUGCUUCUUAACUCUUUUAUGUUUGAUUAGGUUCAUGAAAAGUUACAGUAAUCUUAAAAUUGUUUUCAAUUUAAUGGAAUUUCUACGCACCUACUGGCUAUAAACCUAUAGUACAUCAACAAAUAAUAUGAGUCCCAUGUUCAGAUUCCUUUCAUAUUGCCACAAGUUUCAAAUUAUUUCUAAAUCAUUCUUUUCAAGAGAUAGGCAUGGCAUGAAAUGGCUUUCUAUAUAUUUUUGCUUCUUUGAUUUGUGACAGACUUGAGGAUACAAUAUAUGCAUCUGCCAACAACAAUUGAACCCAUUGCCAUGGUCCGCGGUACUGCGCAUGUUUGGGUUUGGACCACAACUAAAGCAAUCAGUAUGCUGAAGGAAGACAUUUUUGUAGCAAGAGCUGGGAGGUUCUAUGUGAUGGGUGAAAUUAUAGACUAUUCGGGAAGUACUGUUAAUUUCUUGAAUAAUUUUGUUUGUUACUUAUUAUAGAUAUAAAAGUUAGUACUUAAGUUUAUUUAUGAUCAAGUUAAUCUUUGUAAGUUGUGUACCAUUUGACAUGUAUUCAGAAAAUUUGUUGUUUGAUGGGUUGUCUCAUAGCAAAAUAAUACUUCUUCGUCGGGCUUUUGUUCUUUCUUACUAAGCAUUCAUGAUCCUGCAGAGCUUCAGAAGUCACCCAUCAAGAAACAAUCGCAUGUCAAAGGACAAGAUGUGGAACAAAAUCUGUUACAGUCUUCCAAAGAACUAGAUGUUUAAUAUGCAGCAUGGGAGGUUAAAAGAUGAAGAGGUAAAAUUACCGUGUCUACCAACCCACGCGCAGAAAGGAAGAUGUUGAAGGUGAGAAGUCUCACUUUUGUCUGGGUGAGAGAAGCAUGUGUAAGCCUAAGCCUCGAUUGUCCAGUUAUCACAGCUUGCUUAUUAUCUGGAAGCCCAAUGCUAGCUCUAUCUCAAGUCGCCGACUCAUGAGACUUAUCAAGUUCAUGCUGUGUUUGUCGUGUGCAUCAAUACUAUCUUAAGAGCGAACAUUGCUGUGAACAUAUCUGGGAAAUCCCUAAGACAAGCUACUGUUUUUCCCAAACAGAUUAAUAAAUUUUAAAAAUUCAUUUGCCAUUGUUCGAA